CUGGAAAGGGAAGGAGAGAGAUUUUUGAGGUAACCAAUAUUUUAAAACUCAUUUACAGUGAUGGUUCUAACUCGGCCAAUUUAUUAACAGCCGUUGGAUGGCACAUUUUAAAUGGGUGAGGUUUAUGGUAUGUCAAUUAUGCUUCAAUAAAGCUGAUUAAAAAAAAAAAGAAAGAAAAUCAAGGGAGGUAAGUGCAAGAAUUUUCAAGACUCUGUGUUAUUUCUGAACUAAAAUGAGCCUUGUCCUCUCUUGGAAUCAAUUAGCAUGACUGAAGCUGAGAGUGCCUUGCCUGCUGGGAAUAAAAGCCAGAAUGACACAGGCUUGGAAGAAGAGGAAAUAAGGGGGAAAAGAUAAGGGAGAAAAGCUUCACUCACGCCCUGGAGUUGCUUGCUUACUGAACUGGGCUCCAUUCAAAGACACCAAGGAUUAUUAGGGAAAAAAGAAGAAGCAGGACAAAUUGGGACAUAGUAAAAACAUCUUAACAGAAAUACACACGCAAUGCUACGGAAGAUUUUAAAAGCAAGAAAGCAUAUCCUGUUGUGAGUUGUUCCAGAAAGGCCUUUUGAAGAGGUGCUACUUAUAAGCUUGGUCCCCGCACAUUUCCGUCAAUGUCUGCAGUGAUUCGGCUAUUCCCCGGACUAGGAAUGAAGUGGCGGUGGAUGAAGUUGCUUAAGGUCACAAGCCAGGAUUUACAGAGAGGACAGACAAGUUUCUUCUAGGUCUCCCUCAUGGCCAACUUUUCCUAAAAGUUUUCUUGUUGCUUUCCUGACUGUAUGAGUAUUUUCUGUUCCUCUGGCAUCAAACCCACACAUGAUUUCAAAAGUAAUAGCCACAUAAACUGUUAAAUAUGUGUUGGUUUAAUAUAUGAUAAAUUUCUUGGCUUAAUGUUCUAAAAUCAAUCCCCACCACACAAAAUCACCCUCCCUGGUUUGUCUUUUGGAAAUGAUCAAAUAAGGAUAAAUAUCUCUAGGUUUUUUUAGAAAAACCCAGCCAGAUUUCACAGCAGAGAGGUGUGAUAUCAACAAUACAUACGUCUAUUCUGAUCCUUUUCCUAAUUUGCUUAGGAAAGGUACUUUGUACAGUAUUAAACUAAUUUUUGAAGUAGAAAUCAAUACCCAAACCAAGACAAUUCAGUGGCAAGCUCAGUAAUCCAAACAAACUCUCAGGAAGAAAGAACACAACACUGAGAAUCCACUGUGUGUCAGCAGCCAGGAAAAGCAGCAUAAGAGAUCUGGUCAUGUUUUCCAUUCAGGGACUCGAACAUUUCAGAAGGUCAUGGCUGAGUUCAAGGGCUGGAACUUUAAUAUUCCAUGAAUUCAGUGGAAAGACCUCCAGUUUCCCUUCCACCCAACGUGAUGAUUACACAGACCCAGAAAAGCAGAACUUUCUUUUGGAACAUAAAAACUUGUUCUUCUGUAGGAUUCUACAAUUCUCUCCCCUUUUCUCCUCUUCUCUAAUGAAACGUGGGAUACUGGCAGCAGGUCACACUAUUCUAAGCAUAAAUCCACUCGAGGGAAGGAGUAGAAAUCAUGGUCACUCCCUUAGAAAAAGUAAUAAAUGAAUGCAUACAUUUAGAAGAAGUAGGAGAUUUCAUUCAAGGAAUUUAGUCAUGAUGAUCUAACAGGAAGGGCAGUCACAAUAGAAAAUGUCCUUGUCCUCUAUCUUCUAUGCUAUAGUCAUUUAGCACCUGAGUUUUUACAAUGACCCCCGUAUUUAUAUUCACAAUGCACCAUUUCUCUCUCUCUCUCUCUCUCUCUCUCUCUCUCUAUAUAUAUAUAUAUAUAUAUAUAUAUAUAUAUAUAUCAGUUAGUAGACACUAAUUUUUGUUACUAUAAAUAUCUAUCAUUGAUAACCUAUCUUCCUUCAUCCCUGAAGUUUCAACCAGUCUUUACUAUUCUAGCACACUUCCAAGCCUAAUUAUAUUAUUACUCUAGCAUACCCUCAUUCUUAAUGUAUUAUUACCCAAGCAUAUGCCCCACCCUUACUGUAUCAUUACUCCAUCCAUCUUCUACCCUUAUAGCAUCAGUACUCCAGCACAUACUCCACCAUAUUCCUCUAGCACAUCCCCCAGGCCUUACUAAUCCUCUUUCCUUCCACAAGCCUCGCUUGGUUUAAGGACACUUAAAUCUAACAGUAAUGCUGUGUUUAUUUAUUAAACAUUGCAGUGGUAAAUAGUAAGUGUAUAUAUUGUUUUAAGAGUGAUAAUAGAGGAAACAUUAACCUCUGGGGUGCUAGUGGACUAUUCAGCUAUAUUAUAUUUGUUUCACAUAAUGACUGUUGACUUUAUAAUAUUUAAACUUGGACCCUUUCCAGAUUUCCAAAGGAGAGGAUUAUUUUUGUUUUUGUUCUUUUUUGUUUGUUUGUUUGCAAUGGUAGAGCAGCAAGAGCUAUAUUCAAAGCAUAAGGUGGACGACGGUUACAUUUCCCUACUGUCAAUUUCUAUAUCCCAUUUCUAUGGAAAGAUGGGCGAUGACAUCGCUAAGCUGUUUCUUGCUGAAAGAGGGUGAAGUUGGGGGAGGUAAACCAAAGUCCUUGUUCUCUGUCAGGUGAGGUGUGGACAGUGAAGGUUAUUCAGCCUCAGGGCAGUCCAGAGGUCCACAGUGACAGAUGGCCAAUGACUGGACAGGUAUGCGUAGGAAGUUUGUUGUUUUUAAUGUUUCUAAUAACUGGAUUCUUAUCAUUUCAUUCUCAUGAGUCACAUUUCCCUCUUUCCUCUGACUCUAAAAAACUCAGAGACAAUCAACCUACCCCAGUGCAUAUGACUCUCCUAAAUGUGCAUUAAUUCUAGUCUUCGAUUUUUCUAUUUCCCAGCCCCAUUUCCUCAUUUAUUGUAUUUUUAUAUUCUGACGUGCAUCUCUGGAAUACUUCUCAGAUUCUUUCCGACAAGAAAAGGUAUACAUAAAAACAUAGACAAUUCCAUUUCUCGCUUUUCUUUACAAUGAUUUUGGAAAUGCCCUCUAAACUCCUGCAUUUGACUGUUGAAUGUCCCUUUCCACAUGCCAGGUCCUGGGAAGAUGCAUGCAAGCCAGUAGAGGCAGAGGGACUGUUCAGGCCUGUAUUCACACCAGAGUAUCACCCAAGCCUUCUCUUGAUCUUUGAUACUACAACAUUCUAUAAGGAGAAGUAACUUUCUCAUCAAAGGAAGCAGGAGAUCUAACUUUUCAACAAGGCAAACAACUUGAAAUAAGUGACUUUGAAAUGUAUGAUAUUAAGAGAGCUACUAGUUGGACUCAGAGUAUAGCUUAGGGGUAGAGUGUUUGCCUGGCACAUGUGAGGCCCUGGGUUUCAUCCCUAACUCCAAAGAAAGAAGAAAUGAAGAUGG